rnacentral:rRNA from 1 species
GACGAACGCUGGCGGCGUGCCUAAUACAUGCAAGUAGAACGCACAGUUUAUACCGUAGCUUGCUACACCAUAGACUGUGAGUUGCGAACGGGCGAGUAACGCGUAGGUAACCUGCCUGGUAGCGGGGGAUAACUAUUGGAAACGAUAGCUAAUACCGCAUAAUAUUAAUUAUUGCAUGAUAAUUAAUUGAAAGGUGCAAUUGCACCACUACCAGAUGGACCUGCGUUGUAUUAGCUAGUAGGUGAGGUAACGGCUCACCUAGGCGACGAUACAUAGCCGACCUGAGAGGGUGAUCGGCCACACUGGGACUGAGACACGGCCCAGACUCCUACGGGAGGCAGCAGUAGGGAAUCUUCGGCAAUGGACGAAAGUCUGACCGAGCAACGCCGCGUGAGCGAAGAAGGUUUUCGGAUCGUAAAGCUCUGUUGUAAGAGAAGAACGGGUGUGAGAGUGGAAAGUUCACACUGUGACGGUAUCUUACCAGAAAGGGACGGCUAACUACGUG